rnacentral:rRNA from 1 species
UACGGAGGGUGCAAGCGUUAUCCGGAUUUACUGGGUUUAAAGGGUGUGUAGGCGGGCUGUUAAGUCAGUGGUGAAAUCUCCGGGCUCAACCCGGAAACUGCCAUUGAUACUAAUGGUCUUGAAUUUUGUUGAGGUAGGCGGAAUAAGUCAUGUAGCGGUGAAAUGCAUAGAUAUGACUUAGAACACCAAUUGCGAAGGCAGCUUGCUAAACAAAUAUUGACGCUGAGGCACGAAAGCGUGGGGAGCAAACAGG